UACGAAGGGGGCUAGCGUUGCUCGGAAUCACUGGGCGUAAAGCGCACGUAGGCGGAUCUUUAAGUCAGGGGUGAAAUCCUGGAGCUCAACUCCAGAACUGCCUUUGAUACUGAGGAUCUUGAGUCCGGGAGAGGUGAGUGGAACUGCGAGUGUAGAGGUGAAAAUUCGUAGAUAUUCGCAAGAACACCAGUGGCGAAGGCGGCUCACUGGUCCGGUACUGACGCUGAGGCACGAAAGCGUGGGGAGCAAACAGG
rnacentral:rRNA from 1 species